GAGGGGGGCAAGAGCAUGAAGGACUGCUAAUCCUCCACCCUGUAGUUAAAUCGCACAGACCCU
rnacentral:tRNA from 1 species